GAAAUGCGAUAAGUAGUGUGAAUUGCACAAUUCAGUGAAUCAUCGAAUCUUUGAACGCACAUUGCGCCCUUUGGUAUUCCUUAGGGCAUGCCUGUUCGAGCGUCAUCUAAACCUUCAAGCCCUGCUUGGUGUUGGGUGCCUGUCCCGCCUCCGCGCGCGGACUCACCUCAAAUCCAUUGGCGGCCCCCGCGUCGGCCACGAGCGCAGCAGAAACGCGAACUCGUGAGCCCGCCCGGGCGGCUCCCAGAAGCUACACCCACCCAGUUUGACCUCGGAUCAGGUAGGGAUACCCGCUGAACUUAAGC
rnacentral:misc_RNA from 1 species